CCAGCUGCUGCCUCUCCACCGCUGAUGGCUGUUUGUUCCAGGUAGACCAUGAUGAAAAUUUAGUUCUUUUACACGCAUCCCCUGCUUGCGAUCACCCCGACUGUCGGCACGAUGAACCUCCUUUACCCUCAGUUCCCAGGCCCAGAGUAAAACUUGGAUUCCCUGCUCGAGGAACCCCUCCUCCAUUGCGCGUCCGUUCCGCUCUCCCUUGCUUUGCUCUGGCUCCUUACUGGAAUACAGGUGUUCGCUAGGACUCUUUUUGUUGUAAUUUUGCCUCCUCUUCUUGCUCACUAGUACUAGCUCUAUCGCCACCCCACGUUCCUUCUUACAAACAACUCCUCCCCUUUGGCGGCAUUUCUUCGGCGAUUUAUUCAUAGGUGUAUGGACACGAGCUGCCUGCCUGCCCGCGCCGUAGCUAGGUAGGGAGGAAGGAAGGGAGGAAGGGAGUGGGAGAAAGGAACUGGGGACUGACUGAUUCUUGAUGGGAAACGUCAAGAGGAAAACCUGUCAUGGCAACCAUGAAAAAUAACAGGGGUUUCCUGCACAGAGACGAUGGCAGGGUUAUCUUGCACUUUGACUAUGACUCCUUCUACGCCUCCGUAUUCGAAGUGGAAAACCCCGCGCUGAAAGCAGUGCCACUGGCCGUCCAGCAGAAGCAGAUCGUCGUCACGUGUAACUAUGAAGCGCGCCGGCGCGGCUUGCGCAAGUUGCAACUGAUCAAGGAGGCGAAGAAGGUGUGUCCGGACGUGGUGAUCGUGCCGGGCGAGGAUUUGACCAGGUUCCGCGAUGCGAGCAAGGAGAUCUAUACGUUCCUGAAGGGGUAUGUGUCGGGCUGGGGCGGGAGGGUUGAGAGGUUGGGGUUUGAUGAGGUAUUCUUGGACGUCACCUCUUUGGUGGACUACAACAUCGAGCUUCUCAACUACAAUGACCUAUCCAGCUCCUUCUUCCAUCUUGACAAGACAGACCCCACUCAGGGCUUUGCAUACGAUGCCCGCACAGUAUCGGGGCCUUCUUAUCCCCCAUCUCACCAAUCCGAUGAUGGCUCAGCCCCAUAUGCCACAUCAGACUCUCAGACACAUCCGUUCUCACCCAGUAGCAAAGACAAUGCAAAUAGCAACGCACUAUGCCAACGCCUGAUCCUUGGUUCGCAUCUAGCGGGCUACAUCCGCACCCAACUCGAGGAACACAAAGGUUACACAGCCACAGUGGGCAUCUCCACCUCCAAGCUUCUAGCAAAGCUUGCGGGAAACGUCCACAAGCCGCGGAACCAGACGACUCUUCUGCCUCCGUAUGAUUCCACCGAUGAGUGUGGCGCUUGUGCUGACGACGACGACGACAACCACAACGACAUCGACAUCGACAUCGAAAAUGACAAUGACAAUGACAAUGCUGACAAAGAACACGCCCAUGCCCAACAGGGCACCAUCACCCGUUUCCUCGACGCCCAUGACAUCAGCGCAAUCCCGGGCAUCGGUUUCAAAAUCGCCCAGAAGAUCCGCGCGCACAUUCUCGGCCGCCAGCCUACAUCGGGCAUGUACGAACAGCUCUCGAAAGAGGACCACGUCACCGUCAGAGAUGUCCGGCUAUAUCCGGGCAUGUGUCCGCGGAUGCUGAAUGAGAUACUACUAUCGCCGUCUUCCGGCGGCAUCAGCAGUGGAAGUGUCAGCGGCAGGGCCGGGGCCGGCGGAACAUGGCCUAGGGAUAUCGGAAUGAAGGUCUGGGGAUUACUUCAUGGGAUCGACCCGAGCCUCGUGGCAGAGGCUAGAGCUGUCCCCACGCAGAUCAGCAUUGAGGAUUCGUAUGGCGUUGGGAGGUUGGAGGGGUUAAAUGUGGUGCGAUUAGAGCUGGUGGCGCUGGUUCGGAGUCUUCUUAGGCGCAUGCUUGUGGACUUGACUGAGGAGGUUGAAGAGGAGGAAGCACAAGGAGAAGAGGAGGCAGAAGCAGAAAAAGCGGAGGAGGAGGAUGUUGCUGAAAGAACAAAACCGACGAAGAGACGAUGGCUUGCGCACCCGCGCACACUUCGGCUGUCGACACGCUCACGCCUUCCCCCGCUCACUGACGGGACGCGCGAUUUCAGCGCGGGGCGGGUGUCGAGGUCCUGUCCUCUACCGGCGUAUGUGUUCGCUUCGCUGCUUAACAUUGGCAAUAUUAGCCAUGGUCCUCGGAAUCAUCAGAGCCAUGAUAAGAGCGGUGGUGAUGGCUAUGGCAAUGACAACAAAGCCGUUGAUGGCAGGAGCUAUAGCAGGGGAGGAGG
rnacentral:sRNA from 1 species